rnacentral:rRNA from 1 species
CCUUGUGAGAUAAAAAAAAUCCAUCAUCUCUAUCUCUUCUAUUGUAAGACGCGCUGCUAUACGGCGACAGAGAAGCGAGAGGGACAGUCUAUAGAACUGAGAGCGGCCGCGUCGCGAGAGGUGGCGACGGGGAGGCGGCGACGGUCGGUACGAAGAGGAGGUCUUUGUGCAAGAGGAGGAGAGAGAGGCAGGGGCGCGGUGCUCACGGGAUGAGAGGAAGGUCGUGGCUACGGAGAAGAGGUUGUGGGCUAAGCGGCGGCGGCGGCGGCGGCGGCACCGCCGCAGCCGAUCGGGACGGGGCAAGCGGCACCUCCUGAUGGAGCAGCGCAGAACGGUGGAGUGGGGCCGCGUCCGGCAUUUCCGGAGGUUCCAGGAGAGGGCGGAGUUCAGGGGGAGGUUCGGGCUCCGGCAGGAGCGGAAGGAGAGGCUGGAGCCGGAGAGGCUGCGGCUGCAGCGGCGGCAGCAGCACAUGCUGGGAGAGGAGGAGACGAGGCUCCAGCUGUUCUGGGAGCAGGGCGCGGAGCGGCUCGAGGCCCUGGAGCCCGAGAGGGGCAGGGUCUAGCGGGCGGAGCAGGACCAGCUGGGGCGGGCGAAGGCGGCGGGGUGGUAGUAGAGGUUCGACGUCAUGAUGCAGGGGGAGAAGCCGAGGAAGCUCUUGGAGGAGGUCCGCGAGUUCAUGUUGAGGAUGGAGGAGUCGAGGCUGGAGCUCUUGCAACAGUUCGGGUUGCAGCGCGAGGAGGCCCUCACGCCCGAUCCACUAACGCUAUAACGGUUCGAUACGUAGGGGCACGGCUCCGACGAGUGGUCGUUCGGUCUCGCGUAGGUCCGGUACCACCGCGCACGACUUCUACAGCCACACGGGGCACCGAGACGCUACAAGUCCGUGCGCGACGACCGACAGCGUAAGGAGUCGCUCCUCUUCUAACGACGAUUCCACCUCAAGGACUUCUUCUGAAAGUCCACCAGCCUUCGACUCCACCGGUAACGACAACGGUUCGAAGGACACCACGACUCCUUGAGGGUCCUCUCCGACGACGCGUACAGCCUUAAGAACUACAGGCUCCAACCCAAUCUCGGCCUCAUGUAACGAGUGUCCGGCCGUUACGAGUGAAUAUCGAAUCUCCGGGCCGAGUUUGGAGCCAUGAUACAACACUUCAAGGAAUUUCUUUUACCUAACGAUUUCGGAUUGGCUUCGAAGAUGUGGCGUCGGGUCCACUCGCUCUUCCAUAAGCACCUCUUCAAGUAUGCAGGAGUGUUCCUUCGACGCGGAGCGGAGCGACUUCUGAUACGACGGUGAGAAUUUCCCCUUCACGGGUGAUCUAAGUCUAACGUUAUUGGUUCUUGUCCGAACUUAUCAUAAAUCGACAAAAAAAAAAGUGUUACUUCAAAAGUGAGACCUCAUACGUGUCGUUCGACCGUUCAGGACAAAGACAACAAAAAGAUUGUGAGAUUGACCUACAAAUCACAGGUGAUAUCAUACGGUGAACGUCAAACCAUGAGGGAGGCAGGGUAUUACAUUCUGCAAAAAACCGAGAUGUGAUCACAGUUUUUUACAGAAUAUAAUACCCUACCUCUCUCAUCAACGAUUAUAAAAUACUUAAGCUUAUACAAAACCAGCAGUAGAUCAUCUCUUCUUUCUUUCGUACCGUGUCAAUGCUUAACCAAGAAGUAGUACAGUACAAUUAUUGAUACAAAGACUUGGACCAAACAAGUCAGACGCAAAACAUGAUUCUAGUCUGUUAAUAGUUGCAGAAAUCCAGACUAAACCCUACACUCUUAGAAGGAUAAGGAACUCCUUUAUUUGAAUGAUUACAAUUUAAGAACAACUUAGGACGUGAUGUUUGUACGGUACAUAACACAUAGUUGUCGAAGGGACCAUCAUACAUAAUGAGUAAUAAAGUUAAACGCAUACUAAAUAGAAGAGGGUAGGUGUACUUAAGCACGUGUACCUCCUAUCACAAGGCCCGGAACGACUAUGUUGCUUUCCGGUUACCUCGAAAAAACACUUUGUCGUUUUCCCUUUCUCUUUCCCCUGUGAGCAACAGCUUUCAUCAUCAUUCUUUUUUCACAAGAUUCCAAACAGUAUAGGUCCCAAGUGAGAAUGUUAGAAAAAUGCCAAAACGAUCCUCAAUAGUUAACGUCGUAAUGAUGGAUUACUUCUCAAAACGAGAUAUGUGACUGAAAGGUAGAGCUCCAUCCACAACUUAUUUUAUAAGUAUUCAUCUAAAUAACUAAACAAAGAA